UUAGAAGCAGCCAUCAUUUAAAGAAAGCGUAAUAGCUCACUGGUCGAGUCGGCCUGCGCGGAAGAUGUAACGGGGCUAAACCAUGCACCGAAGCUGCGGCAGCGACACUUAUGCGUUGUUGGGUAGGGGAGCGUUCUGUAAGCCUGUGAAGGUGUACUGUGAGGUAUGCUGGAGGUAUCAGAAGUGCGAAUGCUGACAUAAGUAACGAUAAAGCGGGUGAAAAGCCCGCUCGCCGGAAGACCAAGGGUUCCUGUCCAACGUUAAUCGGGGCAGGGUGAGUCGACCCCUAAGGCGAGGCCGAAAGGCGUAGUCGAUGGGAAACAGGUUAAUAUUCCUGUACUUGGUGUUACUGCGAAGGGGGGACGGAGAAGGCUAUGUUGGCCGGGCGACGGUUGUCCCGGUUUAAGCGUGUAGGCUGGUUUUCCAGGCAAAUCCGGAAAAUCAAGGCUGAGGCGUGAUGACGAGGCACUACGGUGCUGAAGCAACAAAUGCCCUGCUUCCAGGAAAAGCCUCUAAGCAUCAGGUAACAUCAAAUCGUACCCCAAACCGACACAGGUGGUCAGGUAGAGAAUACCAAGGCGCUUGAGAGAACUCGGGUGAAGGAACUAGGCAAAAUGGUGCCGUAACUUCGGGAGAAGGCACGCUGAUAUGUAGGUGAAGCGACUUGCUCGUGGAGCUGAAAUCAGUCGAAGAUACCAGCUGGCUGCAACUGUUUAUUAAAAACACAGCACUGUGCAAACACGAAAGUGGACGUAUACGGUGUGACGCCUGCCCGGUGCCGGAAGGUUAAUUGAUGGGGUUAGCGGUAACGCGAAGCUCUUGAUCGAAGCCCCGGUAAACGGCGGCCGUAACUAUAACGGUCCUAAGGUAGCGAAAUUCCUUGUCGGGUAAGUUCCGACCUGCACGAAUGGCGUAAUGAUGGCCAGGCUGUCUCCACCCGAGACUCAGUGAAAUUGAACUCGCUGUGAAGAUGCAGUGUACCCGCGGCAAGACGGAAAGACCCCGUGAACCUUUACUAUAGCUUGACACUGAACAUUGAGCCUUGAUGUGUAGGAUAGGUGGGAGGCUUUGAAGUGUGGACGCCAGUCUGCAUGGAGCCGACCUUGAAAUACCACCCUUUAAUGUUUGAUGUUCUAACGUGGGCCCCUUACCGGGGUUGCGGACAGUGUCUGGUGGGUAGUUUGACUGGGGCGGUCUCCUCCUAAAGAGUAACGGAGGAGCACGAAGGUUGGCUAAUCCUGGUCGGACAUCAGGAGGUUAGUGCAAUGGCAUAAGCCAGCUUGACUGCGAGCGUGACGGCGCGAGCAGGUGCGAAAGCAGGUCAUAGUGAUCCGGUGGUUCUGAAUGGAAGGGCCAUCGCUCAACGGAUAAAAGGUACUCCGGGGAUAACAGGCUGAUACCGCCCAAGAGUUCAUAUCGACGGCGGUGUUUGGCACCUCGAUGUCGGCUCAUCACAUCCUGGGGCUGAAGUAGGUCCCAAGGGUAUGGCUGUUCGCCAUUUAAAGUGGUACGCGAGCUGGGUUUAGAACGUCGUGAGACAGUUCGGUCCCUAUCUGCCGUGGGCGCUGGAGAACUGAGGGGGGCUGCUCCUAGUACGAGAGGACCGGAGUGGACGCAUCACUGGUGUUCGGGUUGUCAUGCCAAUGGCACUGCCCGGUAGCUAAAUGCGGAAGAGAUAAGUGCUGAAAGCAUCUAAGCACGAAACUUGCCCCGAGAUGAGUUCUCCCUGACUCCUUGAGAGUCCUGAAGGAACGUUGAAGACGACGACGUUGAUAGGCCGGGUGUGUAAGCGCAGCGAUGCGUUGAGCUAACCGGUACUAAUGAACCGUGAGGCUUAACCUU
rnacentral:rRNA from 1 species